GACGAACGCUGGCGGCGUGCCUAAUACAUGCAAGUCGAGCGGACCACUUCGGUGGUCAGCGGCGGACGGGUGAGUAACACGUGGGCAACCUGCCUGUAAGACUGGGAUAACACCGGGAAACCGGUGCUAAUACCGGAUAAUCCUUUCCUUCACAUGAAGGGAAGCUGAAAGACGGUUUCGGCUGUCACUUACAGAUGGGCACGCGGCGCAUUAGCUAGUUGGUGAGGUAACGGCUCACCAAGGCAACGAUGCGUAGCCGACCUGAGAGGGUGAUCGGCCACACUGGGACUGAGACACGGCCCAGACUCCUACGGGAGGCAGCAGUAGGGAAUCUUCCGCAAUGGACGAAAGUCUGACGGAGCAACGCCGCGUGAGCGAUGAAGGCCUUCGGGUCGUAAAGCUCUGUUGUCAGGGAAGAACAAGUACCGGAGUAACUGCCGGUACCUUGACGGUACCUGACCAGAAAGCCACGGCUAACUACGUGCCAGCAGCCGCCGUAAGAC
rnacentral:rRNA from 1 species